rnacentral:rRNA from 1 species
ACGAACGCUGGCGGCGUGCUUAACACAUGCCAGUCGAACGGAAAGGCCCUGCUUUUGUGGGGUGCUCGAGUGGCGAACGGGUGAGUAACACGUGAGUAACCUGCCCUUGACUUUGGGAUAACUUCAGGAAACUGGGGCUAAUACCGGAUAGGAGCUCCUUCUGCAUGGUGGGGGUUGGAAAGUUUCGGCGGUUGGGGAUGGACUCGCGGCUUAUCAGCUUGUUGGUGGGGUAGUGGCUUACCAAGGCUUUGACGGGUAGCCGGCCUGAGAGGGUGACCGGCCACAUUGGGACUGAGAUACGGCCCAGACUCCUACGGGAGGCAGCAGUGGGGAAUAUUGCACAAUGGGCGGAAGCCUGAUGCAGCAACGCCGCGUGCGGGAUGACGGCCUUCGGGUUGUAAACCGCUUUCGCCUGUGACGAAGCGUGAGUGACGGUAAUGGGUAAAGAAGCACCGGCUAACUACGUG